ensembl:lncRNA
CGCACAUAUAGCUUCGAACAGCCCUGGGCUAACUCAGGGAUGUACACCCCAACCGGACGCCACUCGGUGUCUGUGGAGUUAUAGGUGCAGAGGCAGAGACAGAGACAAGAUGAGAUAAAAGACUCAUUCACACAGGCCCAAAGGCAGUACAGCUCCCUACCAUGGACAACGGGAGGAUACAGAAUGUUAAUACUACACAAGGGUUAAGACUGAGACUCUCUCCAAUACAACCCAACAUUACAGACUGUGAACCUGGCUGGCCUCGUUUAGCUGUGAGAGGUGGAUGACUCCCCUAUUAUCUCUCCCCUGAGAUAACACCGUUAAAGAUACCCACUUUCACUAAACGCAUGGGAGGAUACUUUGUUGUUCCCUUCGCUGGGAAGGCC